AGUCCAGUCCAUACCACCCUGAACACACCCAAUCUUGUCUGGUCUCGGAAGCUAAGCAAGGUUAGACCUGGUCAGUACUUGGAUGGGAGAACAUCUCUAUAAAAGAAACUAUUUCAGAGCCUCUAUAAUAGUAUUA
rnacentral:rRNA from 1 species